GUGGAGAUGGAGAUCGAGGUAGAGGAAUGCCUUGUAGAAUAGAUCUUGACUGUAGGCCAGGCAUGUACUGCCGGCGAUAUGGAUGGGCCGGCAAUACUUGCGAAUGGCGUUAACCUAGCCAAAAAAGUACCAUAAAGAUGAUUCCAAUGCAUGGUUUGUCAAUAAACUUCCAGGAUGAAUAUGU